GACGAACGCUGGCGGCGUGCUUAACACAUGCCAGUCGAACGGAAAGGCCCCUUUGGGGGUCCUCGAGUGGCGAACGGGUGAGUAACACGUGAGUAACCUGCCCUUGACUUCGGGAUAACUUCAGGAAACUGGGGCUAAUACCGGAUAGGAAUCCUUGCUGCAUGGUGGGGGUUGGAAAGCUUCGGCGGUUUUGGAUGGACUCGCGGCUUAUCAGCUUGUUGGUGGGGUAGUGGCUUACCAAGGCUUUGAUGGGUAGCCGGCCUGAGAGGGCGACCGGCCGCAUUGGGACUGAGAUACGGCCCAGACUCCUACGGGAGGCAGCAGUGGGGAAUAUUGCACAAUGGGCGGAAGCCUGAUGCAGCAACGCCGCGUGCGGGAUGACGGCCUUCGGGUUGUAAACCGCUUUCAGCAGGGGCGAAGCUUGUGGUGACGGUACCUGCAGAAGAAGCACCGGCUAACUACGUG
rnacentral:rRNA from 1 species